GACGAACGCUGGCGGCGUGCUUAACACAUGCAAGUCGAACGGAAAGGCCCUGCUUGCAGGGUACUCGAGUGGCGAACGGGUGAGUAACACGUGGGUGAUCUGCCCUGCACUUCGGGAUAAGCCUGGGAAACUGGGUCUAAUACCGGAUAGGAGCCAUUUUUAGUGUGAUGGUUGGAAAGUUUUUUCGGUGUAGGAUGAGCUCGCGGCCUAUCAGCUUGUUGGUGGGGUAAUGGCCUACCAAGGCGGCGACGGGUAGCCGGCCUGAGAGGGUGGACGGCCACAUUGGGACUGAGAUACGGCCCCGACUCCUACGGGAGGCAGCAGUGGGGAAUAUUGCACCAUGGGCGCCAGCCUGAUGCAGCGACGCCGCGUGGGGGAUGACGGCCUUCGGGUUGUAAACUCCUUUCGCUAGGGACGAAGCUUUUUGUGACGGUACCUAGAGAAGAAGCACCGGCUAACUACGUG
rnacentral:rRNA from 1 species